rnacentral:rRNA from 1 species
UUUAAUUCGAUGAUACGCGAGGAACCUUACCUGGGCUAGAAUGUCACGUGACCGGUGGUGAAAGCUACCUUCCCCGCAAGGGGCGCGUGAUAAGGUGCUGCAUGGCUGUCGUCAGCUCGUGCCGUGAGGUGUUGGGUUAAGUCCCGCAACGAGCGCAACCCCCAUCACUAGUUGCCAUCAGGUAAUGCUGGGAACUCUAGUGAAACUGCCGUCGCAAGACGUGAGGAAGGAGGGGAUGAUGUCAAGUCAUCAUGGCCUUUAUGCCCAGGGCUACACACGUGCUACAAUGGAGAGGACAAAGGGCUGCCACUUAGUGAUAAGGAGCUAAUCCCAAAAACCUCUUCUCAGUUCAGAUUGGAGUCUGCAACUCGACUCCAUGAAGCUGGAAUCGCUAGUAAUCGUAUAUCAGCAAUGAUA